GUUGCCCCUAGAGGUGUUGCAGAUGUGGCUGCUAUGUCACUUAUACGUCAGUAGGUGGCAGAGAGGAGAGAGGCUGUGUCUAAGCUCGGUGUUCUACCCUGUGAACACCAGAAGGAUUAGCACUCCCUGA